rnacentral:rRNA from 1 species
UACGUAGGUCCCGAGCGUUGUCCGGAAUUACUGGGUGUAAAGGGUGCGCAGGCGGCCAUGUGCGUCAGAAGUGAAAUAUCACGGCUUAACCGUGAGGGUGCUUUUGAAACGGCGUGGCUUGAGUACGGGAGAGGAUGAUGGAAUUCCUGGUGUAGCAGUGAAAUGCGUAGAUAUCAGGAGGAACACCGGUGGCGAAGGCGGUCAUCUGGCCCGGUACUGACGCUCAGGCACGAAAGUGUGGGUAGCAAAC